CAGAAAUUAUCACCAGUCCAGUGAAAAAUAAUCUGCAUCAAAUGAUAACCUUGACCUAAAGACUUACGGUUUUAAGAAUUAUGGGUAUAGGACUGUAAUCAGCCUGCCAGAGUUCCUUCGUGAGAAAGGGUAACUGACAGUGAAGAUCUGGUGGUGCUGAAAAGAUGAGAUGAACUUUUUCAAGCUGGUGAUAAUGAACUGGAGGAAUGAGAUUCUGAGAACCCCCUCUGACAGAAGGCUCGUGUCCUGGGACAAGAUAAGCUGGGGACCAGAUGAAGUUGGCUCAAGUGGGCCUCUAAAUGCAUUGCUGAAGCAGUGGAGGUGGCGGAGAGUGAUGCCACAGGAGCAGAACUGAAGAGAGAGAUUCAGCCUUACCGUGUGAGGGGACAAGGAGCUAAGGUAAAGGCUGUGCCGGUCACCCUGUGAUCUCCCUGGGAGCGCUAAGUGCGGGGGGUCAUCUUUACCGAGAGCCCAGCAGUGUGCUCAGGGGACGAGCUCCCGGCGUGCUAAUGCGGCAUUCCAAGGGGGAGCGGGAAUGGAGCGGGAAUGGGUUUGCCGAGAAACACGCGUGCUUAGGGGGGGAAGUACGUAGCAUUUACCUAAAGAAGCAGGCAGGGCGUGUCAGACGGUGCUUUUUAAACAGGAGGGCUGGGAGCUGAAACCAGAACAUUCCCUGGCAACUGGAGAAAGUUCUGAGGAAAGUGCAGUGUGAGCGGCAGGACCCCCUCCCCCUGCCUAGAGAGGAGACAAAGAACAGGCAAGGAGGGAACUGAAAUAGGAAGCAGGAACCAUGUCAGGAGACUGGGGACUAAAAGAAAGCAAAUUAAUAAGGCAAUAUGAACCGCUGGGGGGAAAGGCACGCAACUGACUGAAGCCACUAGGAAAGAUAAGCAAAUUCCAGAUUCUUUAACUGCUGCAAGUGUGCGCACAUGCAGCCUGCCUAGUAUGUGUAAAUAUAAUCCUUUUCCUCACCACAGCAAGUACAACUCUUGGUUUGUGGCACACUAACAGACUAACAGGAUGGGAGCACUGCAUUAUACAUGUAAUAGAGUGCGUGUUCAUCAACAUCGCUACCACUCGAACAACCUCAGAUUUCCCAAAAUACACGUUCAGAUCAGGGCGCAUGCAUAUGUAAUGCAGUAAUAAAAAGCUACCGGCAGUAUUCUGCCUGCGGUGUAGUCAGCUUCCAGCAGAAGCAAGAGAAACCCAGCAUACAGGCUGAGGGCAGCGCGUGGCCUUAAGUGUUAAUGCAAUAUCGCGUUUUGGAAGUUGGAAGCUUGGUGCGCUCAUUUGCACAUCAGUACCCAGAAUGCU